rnacentral:rRNA from 1 species
UACGGAGGAUCCAAGCGUUAUCCGGAAUUACUGGGCGUAAAGAGUUGCGUAGGCGGCAGAGUAAGCAAAUAGUGAAAGCGUUCGGCUCAACCGAAUAUCCAUUAUUUGAACUGCUCAGCUAGAAGAUGAGAGAGGUAGCUGGAAUUCCUAGUGUAGGAGUGAAAUCCGUAGAUAUUAGGAGGAACACCGAUGGCGUAGGCAGGCUACUGGCUCAUUCUUGACGCUAAGGCACGAAAGCAUGGGGAGCGAC